UAGGGAAUCUUCCGCAAUGGACGAAAGUCUGGCGGAGCAACGCCGCGUGAGUGAUGAAGGUUUUCGGCUCGUAAAGCUCUGUUGUUAGGGAAGAACAAGUGCAAGAGUAACUGCUUGCACCUUGACGGUACCUAACCAGAAAGCCACGGCUAACUACGUGCCAGCAGCCGCGGUAAUACGUAGGUGGCAAGCGUUGUCCGGAAUUAUUGGGCGUAAAGGGCUCGCAGGCGGUUUCUUAAGUCUGAUGUGAAAGCCCCCGGCUCAACCGGGGAGGGUCAUUGGAAACUGGGAAACUUGAGUGCAGAAGAGGAGAGUGGAAUUCCACGUGUAGCGGUGAAAUGCGUAGAGAUGUGGAGGAACACCAGUGGCGAAGGCGACUCUCUGGUCUGUAACUGACGCUGAGGAGCGAAAGCGUGGGGAGCGAAC
rnacentral:rRNA from 1 species